AGGGCGACCCAGUUCAAACCAAUGUGAUAUUUGUCGAAUGAUAAUGACUUGGCUGAGGACUUGCGUGGGACCGUCCCAGAUUCAGGAAGCCAUUCAGAAGGCUACAACAGCGGUGUGCUCAAAGAUUCCAGCGGUGGAAAAAAAGUCUGCAAAGAUAUCCUCACCAGAGUUUUGUGGUAGUGUUGCCCAGUUUUUUCCUGAAUAGUGAUCCCUCCAGGGAUAUCUGUGUGAC
rnacentral:lncRNA from 1 species